GACGAACGCUGGCGGCGUGCCUAAUACAUGCGAGUAGAACGCUGAAGCUUGGUGCUUGCACCGAGCGGAUGAGUUGCGAACGGGUGAGUAACGCGUAGGUAACCUGCCUGGUAGCGGGGGAUAACUAUUGGAAACGAUAGCUAAUACCGCAUAACAGUAGAUAUCGCAUGAUAGCUACUUGAAAGGUGCAAAUGCACCACUACCAGAUGGACCUGCGUUGUAUUAGCUAGUUGGUGAGGUAACGGCUCACCAAGGCAACGAUACAUAGCCGACCUGAGAGGGUGAUCGGCCACACUGGGACUGAGACACGGCCCAGACUCCUACGGGAGGCAGCAGUAGGGAAUCUUCGGCAAUGGACGGAAGUCUGACCGAGCAACGCCGCGUGAGUGAAGAAGGUUUUCGGAUCGUAAAGCUCUGUUGUAAGAGAAGAACGAGUGUGAGAGUGGAAAGUUCACACUGUGACGGUAUCUUACCAGAAAGGGACGGCUAACUACGUG
rnacentral:rRNA from 1 species